rnacentral:rRNA from 1 species
CCUACGGGUGGCAGCAGUGGGGAAUAUUACACAAUGGGGGAAACCCUGAUGCAGCGACGCCGCGUGAGUGAAGAAGGAAGUCGUGAUGUAAAGCUCUAUCAGCAGGGAAGAAAAUGACGGUACCUGAGUAAGAAGCCCCGGCUAACUACGUGCCAGCAGCCGCGGUAAUACGUAGGGGGCAAGCGUGAUCCGGAUUUACUGGGUGUAAAGGGAGCGUAGACGGCAGGGCCAGACUGGAGGGAAAGGCGGGGGCUCACCCCCCGGACUGCUCUGGAAACUGUACGGCUGGAGUGCAGGAGAGGUAAGUGGCAUUCCUCGUGUAGCCGUGAAAUGCGUAGAUAUUAGGAGGCACCCCAGUGGCGAAGGCGGCUUACUGGACUGUAACUGACGUUGCGGCUCGAAAGCUUGGGGAGCAAACAGGAUUAGAUACCCUAGUAGUC